GUAACCUCAUUUAUGUAGGGAGAAUCACUAGAUGCUUGCACAUAAGAAUAUCGGAACAUGUACGAAAUAUUAAAAAAGGGAUUGAAACACACAGUAUUUCUGAGCAUUACAAAACACAUCAUAAUUGUAAUCCAAAAAGCACUUUCUUUGCCGCCAUCAAACUAAUACAGAAAAACUGGAGAGGAGGGGAUUUCAAUAGAAAAAUAGGAAAAGAAAAAAUGAAGUGAAGUGUAUCUAUAAUUUCAAGACACUCACCCCUCAUGGUCUGAACCAAGAUUUUGAGUUAUGCCAUUUCUUAACAUAAAAACCUUUC